CCUACGGGUGGCAGCAGUGGGGAAUAUUGCACAAUGGGCGCAAGCCUGAUGCAGCAACGCCGCGUGAAGGAAGAAGGCUUUCGGGUUGUAAACUUCUUUUCUCAGGGAAGAAGGAAGUGACGGUACCUGAGGAAUAAGCCACGGCUAACUACGUGCCAGCAGCCGCGGUAAUACGUAGGGGGCAAGCGUUAUCCGGAUUUACUGGGUGUAAAGGGCGUGUAGGCGGGAAGGAAAGUCAUAUGUGAAAACUCAGGGCUUAACCCAGGGCCUGCAUUAGAAACUAUGUAGCUUGAGUGCAGGAGAGGAAAGCGGAAUUCCGGGUGUAGCGGUGAAAUGCGGAGAUAUACGGAGGAACACCAGUGGCGAAGGCGGAUUGCUGGACAGAAACUGACGCUGAGGCUCGAAAGCGUGGGGAGCGAACAGGAUUAGAUACCCGAGUAGUC
rnacentral:rRNA from 1 species